GGUAUGUUUAGUGUUCAAGAGCAAGCAUAGCUAUUGCACACUAAUGUACCCU
rnacentral:pre_miRNA from 1 species